rnacentral:rRNA from 1 species
UACGGAGGGUGCAAGCGUUAUCCGGAUUCACUGGGUUUAAAGGGUGCGUAGGCGGAUAUGUAAGUCCGUGGUGAAAUCUCUGGGCUUAACCCGGAAACUGCCAUGGAUACUAUGUGUCUUGAAUGUUGUUGAGGUGAGCGGAAUAUGUCAUGUAGCGGUGAAAUGCUUAGAUAUGACAUAGAACACCAAUUGCGAAGGCAGCUUACUACCCGAAUAUUGACACUGAGGCACGAAAGCGUGGGGAUCAAACAGG